CCUACGGGAGGCAGCAGUGGGGAAUAUUGGACAAUGGGGGCAACCCUGAUCCAGCCAUGCCGCGUGUGUGAAGAAGGCCCUCGGGUUGUAAAGCACUUUCAGUGAGGAAGAACGCCUGGUGGUUAAUACCCAUCAGGAAAGACAUCACUCACAGAAGAAGCACCGGCUAACUCCGUGCCAGCAGCCGCGGUAAUACGGAGGGUGCGAGCGUUAAUCGGAAUUACUGGGCGUAAAGCGCGCGUAGGUGGGUUGAUAAGCCGGUUGUGAAAGCCCCGGGCUCAACCUGGGAACGGCAUCCGGAACUGUCAAGCUAGAGUGCAGGAGAGGAAGGUAGAAUUCCCGGUGUAGCGGUGAAAUGCGUAGAGAUCGGGAGGAAUACCAGUGGCGAAGGCGGCCCUCUGGACUGACACUGACACUGAGGUGCGAAAGCGUGGGUAGCAAACAGGAUUAGAUACCCCGGUAGUC
rnacentral:rRNA from 1 species